CCGUAUGUCAGAAACAAACAUCUCAAACGAAAAUUUUCAAGUACCCGAAAUUUAUUGUUAACACUAAAAUAGUCCUAAAAUAAUCAUUUCCAAAUAACGGAUGCGGGCGGCGGACCAGAAACUAAAGAUCAACUUGUAGGGGCCUAAAAGAUGGUGGAGGAUUUGACAUUUUGAGACGGGGUGUGCAGGCCAGUGACCUGAUCGUAAUCCAACCACCUCGAUCUGGAUAUAACGUGCCAUUUUUGAGGGAUUUAUCGGGGUUAGGACAGGCUGUGGCAUUUAUCAGACCAAUCCAAUGCAAUUUGAGUAUGACACCUUGUGUAGAUUUUGACUUGAGUGAAGAUGAUGGAAAUUGUGAUCCUGCACCCACUGUUAUGUGUUUCAACUGCAAACUUUAUGUUUCUAUCAAUGAUAUCAGGCAACAUCAACAAUGCUGUAAUGAUGAUGAUGAAAUAAUAAAGAGUGUAAUUAAAGAUGAUACAAGUAAACAAAAUAAUGAUGGAUUGGGUAAUCAGG